rnacentral:lncRNA from 1 species
CUAGGCAUGGCAUGAAAUUAGGCAACAGAGGAAGAAAAUGAACAGGGGGAUGAGCAGAAGCAGUUCAUCUGGACAGUUUCUUGCCUCAAAAAUCUGUUCUUCAAGCCAGAACAGGGUGGUGGACCAGAAGUAUUCCUCAGGAAUAGAAGAAUUUACUCCAGGGAUGUUUUUAGAAGAAAUCAAGGGAAUGCAGAAGUGUGGAAUUUUAAAGCAGAUUCAUGCCAAGCCUUCACUGGGCAAACAGUGUCCAACAUAGUGUUUGAAGUAUGUUCCCAGCUUGGUGGUGCUCGUGGAGAAAUACUGCUGCAAAUCAUGCAUAUGGCACAUUGCCCAGCCAGUGUGGUGCAGAUGUAUAAGGAGGAGUCCUCCAGGACUACUGAAAGGUGCUUUUUGCUGUCCUGUGAAGAAGAUUAAACCUGCUUUUACUGGCUCCCUUGGACAGAGUUUCCUUGGGAUGAUGAAGGUGCUCAGCAGAGGUACUGAAUGAAGCCAAGUGGGAUGAUUCUGUCUUGUGUCUCAUUGCCUUACCUGUCACUGCUCUCUUGGUGUUUUCUCUCUGUUCCUCCUUUCCUGGAGAUUUUACAGAACAGAGCAGAAAACAUUUCUGAAGAUUUCAUCCCUGCUCAUCUUUAUUAACUAUGGUGUCAAGUCCUGCCUGG